AUUGAACGCUGGCGGCAUGCCUUACACAUGCAAGUCGAGCGGCAGCGCGGGGGCAACCCUGGCGGCGAGCGGCGAACGGGUGAGUAACAUAUCGGGACGUACCCCGUCGUGGGGGAUAACACAGCGAAAGCUGUGCUAAUACCGCAUACGACCUGAGGGUGAAAGCGGGGGAUCGCAAGACCUCGCGCGAUGGAGCGGCCGAUAUCGGAUUAGCUUGUUGGUGAGGUAAAAGGCUUCACCAAGGCGACGAUCCGUAGCUGGUCUGAGAGGACGACCAGCCACACUGGAACUGAGACACGGUCCAGACUCCUAC
rnacentral:rRNA from 1 species